AGUGAACGCUGGCGGCGUGCCUAAUACAUGCAAGUCGAACGGAGUGGCGCACGGGUGAGUAAUAUAUAGCUACUCUGUCCCUUGCUGGAGGACAACAGUUAGAAAUGACUGCUAAUACUCCAUAGCAAGGGAUGAGACUAUAUCGUAUCAGCUAGUCGGUGGGGUAACGGCCUACCGAGGCUAUGACGCGUAACCGGUCUGAGAGGAUGAUCAGACACAUUGGAAGUGAGACACAGUGCAAACUCCUACGGGAGGGAGCAGAAUGGAAUAUUGCGCAGUGGGGGAAACCCUGACGCAGCAACGCCGCGUGGAGGAUGACACUUUGCGGAGCGUAAACUCCUUUGAUUAGGGAAGCGGUACCUGACGAAUAAGCACCGGCUAACUCCGUGCCAGCAGCCGCGGUAAUUC
rnacentral:rRNA from 1 species